CUGGAGACGUCCCCUACAUAGGGAGAGAGGGGAGGGGGGGAAACGACAAAAACCAAGAGUGUGGGGGAGAUACCUACCCAAUGAAAAGCGCUGUCAAGAGGGCAUUUGCACUCCGCAGAUCGCUGUCUCUAGCGCUCCCCUCUAUGCCCCGCCAAUCUGACAAUCCUCCCAAGUCUCCCCCCUCCCAAGUCUCGCUCCCCUCUCUCUCGGACGAGGCUUCAACAAGUUGGAGAAAGGAGGGAACACAAGGGGUUAAGCAGCAGGAGCUGCAAUUGCCAAGAUCGUGACCCUCCCACACAGUACAGUAACUUAUAUACAUACCUGGAGGAAGACUUGUUUGCCUUUGGGCUUUAUUCUUUGGGGGGUGGGGAGGGGGAUUGGUCUGGGUGGGUAUGGUGCUACCUCUCCAGAUAACUCCUGUUGCCAGCGGACUCGCCAUGGAGGGCGCCUAGAGAAAGGUCCCUGUUACUCCUCUUGAUGGUAUGCCAGGUGGAGCCCCCAAGGAAGCAAAAAUGGGAGGACAGCAGAAGCUCUGGGGACAAUAAUGACAUGACAGGAGACCAAGAUGAUGAAACUAAGGCUCCAAGAAGAUAACAGACUUUUCCUAUGGUCACACAGCUGGGACUGAGCCAAGAACUGAGAAGACCCUGACUCAUGAGUGCAGUGAAACUUCCAGCUGAAGAAGGAACCCUGAAAGAAAGUCUACAUAUGUAAUGCAAGACUUCCAGGGAGUUUUCCUCCAAGAUUAAUAAUAGAACAAUGCUGGCUUUAAUUGCUUGUUUGAUAUUUUAAUUUUCUAUUCCUACUAUCCCACCUGAAAACCCUUUGUUCAUUUUGGGAAAAUUAUCCCUUCAGGCCAUGAUUUUUCAAAAAAAUUCAUUACAUUGAGUGAAGAAAUGGUAAGAGAAGAACCAGAAGAUGAGAAGACUUUGUCAGCUGUCCAAUUUGUACAUCCAAUGAGUUCAGUCAGCCCAGCCCAAAUGACUGAAAUAACAGCAGCUGUAGCUGACCAGAAGCCUCCUGUGCUGCCCAGUUUUGCCAAGAGAAUGGAAAAUUAAAAGUUUCCUGUCCUGAACUGGAUGCCUCUUUUAAAAGGGAAACAUCUUGUUUUCUGGUUCCUCUAAGUGGGAAUAACAUAAGCCAGGUUUCCUGAGUCCUCACCUCAUCCUCGAGUGAUCCGGCAUUUGAGUCUCUGAGAGCACCAGAGCUGAAGAAAAGGUGACUAGGCCUUCAGUCAACAAGCGUUUAUCAAGCAUCUGCUACAUGGGGGACACUGUGCUAGAUUCUGUAAUGUUUAACAACAACAAUGGCACGUUUAUGUAACUCCUCAAAGUUUGCAGAGCACUUUGCAAAACAUUUACCACUCUAUCUGCUGCCUAUUCAAAGGGGAAAAAAGGGAAUCCGUCUCUGCCCUUAUGGAACUUACAUUACAAUCUGAGGAAACAACAUGGAGACAGCUAGGUGGUGCAAUGGGUAGAGUGCUGGGCCUGGAGUCAGGAAGAACUAAAAUUUAAUCCAGCCUCAGACAUAUACUAGCUGUGUGAUCCUGGGGGAGUCACUCUCAGCCUCAGUUUCCCCAUCUGUAAAAUGGGAACAACAAUAAUUGUUGUGAGGAUCAAAUGAGAUCAUAUUUGUAAAGUGCUUGUUGAAAUGCUAGCUAUAUGUAUAACAUGCAUAUACACAUAACUCUUAAGCCAUCCGUGUCAAAAGUCAUGGCAGCCACUUUCUUUGGACUAUCUCCAGAUCCCUCUUUGUUUACCUGGAAGAAAAUAUGCCAGCAGCAAGAUCAGAACACCAUCUUGUGCUGUUAAUGUCACAAUACAAACUUUGUUGCAGAAAGGAGACAGCCCAAGGAUUCUUAAC